AAAAGUGUUUUUUUUUUUUGCGUAGUGCCCGUAGGCAUGGGCAAUUUCUAGUAUAUAUAUAAUAUGUUAAUGUUUACAAAUGUAUAUUGCUAUAAUCACUGCUCUUUGUUUUGUAUGUUUUUUUUAACUCAAGGUUGUCACACUUUCAAUUAUAUGGGUACUCCCUUAGUUGCCUUUACAAUUUGGUUCACUUUUGAAUGACAUAAUGGAUGGAGUCCCCCAGUAAACUUGUAGCAUCUUUCUUGCCGUUCUAAAAUGGAACCUUUGCAUUAUGGGAUUGGAAAGAACUAGAAGUGAAUCUGGUAUAUUUUUUCCUUUAUAAUCAUGAUCAGUGUACCUCUUCUAGUCCGUUUCUUAAUAUUCAAAAUCAACAUGAACACAUCUUCUAGUUGUUUCAGAUAUUUAAAUCAAUUGUUGUGUUAAUUAUGUAGGAAAGAUGUAGCAACACAAUUGUCCAUUAAAUAAAAUCUAUAUACAGUGUAAAAUUCAAGUUAAUAUUGGGAUUUUGUUUCCCAGAAGAAAUUGCACUUCGUUGGAGUGUUCUCUAUAACCAUCCCAGAUUGUAACUUUCCUGGACACAUAAUUAAAAACAUGUGGGAUUUUAAAAUAUAAUGCCGUUGUAAGCAAGCAAUGAAUAAGGAAAACAUAAUUACCGUACUAACCCCUAUGGAUGAGUUGUAAUUAUAUGACUUAAUUGAGACUCAUGCUUUAAGCUUGCAAAGCG
rnacentral:lncRNA from 1 species